GGAGGCGAUGCUGGAGACGGUGAUCCCUCGCGGCCCCACCGACCGCGUGAUGGUGGUGCUGGGCGAGCACCGCGGCCAGGUGGGACGCAUCCUGGAGCGCGACCCCGAGCGCGGGAGGGCGGUGGUGCAGCUGCGGGGGGGGGUCGUGGAGCUGGGCUACGAUUGGCUCUGCCAUUACCUGGGGGGGGACGAGGACGACUGAUGGAAGCCCCCAAAAUCGCCUUUUUUCACCUCAAAAAUCCACGGCGUGGAAAUAAAGCGGUGUCCCCACGGUUGGGAUUGGAAAAAAA